ACGAUACGUAGCCGACCUGAGAGGGUGAUCGGCCACACUGGAACUGAGACACGGUCCAGACUCCUACGGGAGGCAGCAGUAGGGAAUGCUUCCGCAAUGGGCGAAAGCCUGACGGAGCAACGCCGCGUGAGUGAUGAAGGGUUUCGGCUCGUAAAAUCUCUGUUAUUAGGGAAGAACAAAUGUGUAAGUAACUGUGCACAUGCUUGACGGUACCUAAUCAGAAAGCGC
rnacentral:rRNA from 1 species